rnacentral:rRNA from 1 species
AGGACGAACGCUGGCGGCGCGCCUAACACAUGCAAGUCGAACGAGCGAAGAGGAGCUUGCUUCUCUGAGCGAGUGGCGAACGGGUGAGUAACGCGUGAGGAACCUGCCUCAAAGAGGGGGACAACAGUUGGAAACGACUGCUAAUACCGCAUAAGCCCACGGGUCGGCAUCGACCAGAGGGAAAAGGAGCAAUCCGCUUUGAGAUGGCCUCGCGUCCGAUUAGCUAGUUGGUGAGGUAAAUGGCCCACCAAGGCGACGAUCGGUAGCCGGACUGAGAGGUUGAACGGCCACAUUGGGACUGAGACACGGCCCAGACUCCUACGGGAGACAGCAGUGGGGAGUAUUGCACAAUGGGGGAAACCCUGAUGCAGCGACGCCGCGUGGAGGAAGAAGGUCUUCGGAUUGUAAACUCCUGUUGUUGAGGAAGAUAAUGACGGUACUCAACAAGGAAGUGACGGCUAACUACGUG